GGGUUGUAAAGUACUUUCAGCGGGGAGGAAGGUGUUAAGAUUAAUACACUUAGCAAUUGACGUUACCCGCAGAAGAAGCACCGGCUAACUCCGUGCCAGCA
rnacentral:rRNA from 1 species